AAGCUAGGACGCGUGCUGGCGGCGACUACCCCGUUCUAUGGGAUAAGAUGCAUCUCUGGAGCAACCUGGCCGACAAAAAAAAGCAAGUGGACAGGAUCAUCGAGCAGUUACACAACAUGAAAUUCGAUGAGCUCACAUGGGACAUAUGUAGCUCGGUAUCCGUCUGUGAACCAGCUGGAGUUGGACACAAUCGCGCGAAGGGUGCUCAACGAAUUGGACAAUAUCCAAAAAUUAAUUUGAAUCAGACGAAGCCGCCAUUUUCAGAAAGGCCUACGUAAUUCUUCAGUAUGUCUUACGUGACCCACCCCGCAGAGUUUGAGGCGGAUCCUAUUAUGUUUGAGGCUCCCGAGGUGGGAGUUACGGAUCUCCUAACGCCGAAGCCCAAUAAGGAAUUUUGUUCAAGUUGGAGAGGGUUUUGAAGAGUUGGCCAGCGGGCAGGUGGUAAGAGGAACGAUGGCUUGAGAGAGCUAAAAUAUGAACAACAGCCUUGCAUCUCUGGCUAUAAAUUGUUCCCAAUCUCUGAGAAGUAGCCGUCAAACAAGAUGGGAAGACUGACAAGGCUAUAUCGACUCGGCUAUCGAUGCUGAUCAAGGAUAUAUAUGGGGCCGGAAAGGCUUUAAUGAAAUGCCGAAUGAAAAAAUGUCUCGUCAGCAUUAAUUGAUUCAUGAUUUUCAUUUAUUUGGAGAAAAAAAAAUCUGUAACUAUAAUGAAAAAAUUUUAAUUUAACUACAAAUAAAAUAGAAAUCAAUCUGUCCGUAUGACCCCAUGGGACAUACAUAUA